rnacentral:rRNA from 1 species
UACAGAGGGUGCGAGCGUUGUCCGGAUUUAUUGGGCGUAAAGAGCGUGUAGGCGGCUUUACAGGUCCGUUGUGAAAACUCGAGGCUCAACCUCGAGACGCCGGUGGAAACCGUAAAGCUAGAGUCCGGAAGAGGAGAGUGGAAUUCCUGGUGUAGCGGUGAAAUGCGCAGAUAUCAGGAAGAACACCCGUGGCGAAGGCGGCUCUCUGGGACGGUACUGACGCUGAGACGCGAAAGCGUGGGUAGCAAACAGG